rnacentral:tRNA from 1 species
GGCGGUGUAGCUCAAGUGGCAGAGCACGCGGCUCAUAUCCGCUAGGUUAGGGGUUCGAGUCCCUUCACCGCCA